rnacentral:rRNA from 1 species
GGGGGAAUCUUGGGCAAUGGGCGCAAGCCUGACCCAGCGACGCCGCGUGAGGGAAGAAGGUUUUCGGAUCGUAAACCUCUGUCAGGAGGGAAGAAAGGCAUAUACUGAAUAAGUAUAUGUUAUGACGGUACCUCCAGAGGAAGCGCCGGCCAACUCCGUGCCAGCAGCCGCGGUAAUACGGAGGGCGCAAGCGUUAUUCGGAAUCACUGGGCGUAAAGCGCGCGUAGGCGGCAACGUAAGUCAGGUGUGAAAGCCCUCGGCUCAACCGGGGAAUAGCACUCGAGACUGCGUAGCUAGAGUUCGGGAGAGGGUGGCGGAAUUCCCGGUGUAGGAGUGAAAUCCGUAGAUAUCGGGAGGAACACCAGAGGCGAAGGCGGCCACCUGGCCUGAAACUGACGCUGAGGUGCGAAAGCGUGGGUAGCAAACAGGAUUAGAUACCCUGGUAGUCCACGCUGUAAACGAUGGGUGCUAGAUGCUGGUGCCGUAUAGGUAUUAGUGUCGCAGCUAACGCGAUAAGCACCCCGCCUGGGGAGUACGGUCGCAAGGCUG